rnacentral:rRNA from 1 species
UACGAAGGGGGCUAGCGUUGCUCGGAAUCACUGGCGUAAGCGCACGUAGGCGGCUUCUAAGUCAGGGUGAAAUCCUGGAGCUCAACUCCAGAACUGCCUUUGAUACUGGAGAGCUUGAGUCCGGAAGAGGUGAGUGGAACUCCGAGUGUAGAGGUGAAAUUCGUAGAUAUUCGGAAGAACACCAGUGGCGAAGGCGGCUCACUGGUCCGGUACUGACGCUGAGGUGCGAAAGCGUGGGAGCAAACAGG